rnacentral:pre_miRNA from 1 species
ACAGCUCACCAGCCCAUCCUUAUGCGUGGUGCUUCUGACUUCUGGCCCCUGCUCAGCCCCACCAACACUAAGCCGGGGCCAGAUCUCAGAAGCAUUGUGCAUAAUCAUGUGCCUCUAGCUGU